rnacentral:rRNA from 1 species
CCUACGGGAGGCAGCAGUGAGGAAUAUUGGUCAAUGGACGAGAGUCUGAACCAGCCAAGUAGCGUGAAGGAUGACUGCCCUAUGGGUUGUAAACUUCUUUUAUAUGGGAAUAAAAUGUUCCACGUGUGGGAUUUUGUAUGUACCAUAUGAAUAAGGAUCGGCUAACUCCGUGCCAGCAGCCGCGGUAAUACGGAGGAUCCGAGCGUUAUCCGGAUUUAUUGGGUUUAAAGGGAGCGUAGGUGGAUUGUUAAGUCAGUUGUGAAAGUUUGCGGCUCAACCGUAAAAUUGCAGUUGAAACUGGCAGUCGUGAGUACAGUAGAGGGAGGCGGAAUUCGUGGUGUAGCGGUGAAAUGCUUAGAUAUCACGAAGAACUCCGAUUGCGAAGGCAGCUCACUGGACUGCAACUGACACUGAGGCUCGAAAGUGUGGGUAUCAAACAGGAUUAGAUACCCGAGUAGUC